rnacentral:rRNA from 1 species
UACGUAGGUGGCGAGCGUUACUCGGAAUUACUAGGCGUAAAGCGUGUGUAGGCGGGGGCUUAAGUCCGUCGUGAAAUCUCACGGCUCAACCGUGAGCGGUCGACGGAUACUGGGCUUCUUGAGUGCGGUAGGGGAAACUGGAAUUCCCGGUGUAGCGGUGAAAUGCGUAGAGAUCGGGAAGAACGCCAAAGGCGAAGGCAGGUUUCUGGGCCGUUACUGACGCUGAGACACGAAAGCUAGGGGAG